rnacentral:rRNA from 1 species
CGGACGGGUGAGUAACGCGUGAAUGACAUGCCCUUGAGAGGGGGAUAGCCCAGGGAAACUUGGAUUAAUACCCCAUGGUCUCGCAAGAGUAAAAGGUGGCCAGCAAUGGCUGUCGCUCAGGGAUUGGUUCGCGGCCUAUCAGCUAGUUGGCGGGGUAACGGCCCACCAAGGCGACGACGGGUACCUGGUCUGAGAGGACGAUCAGGCACACUGGAACUGAGACACGGUCCAGACACCUACGGGUGGCAGCAGUCGAGAAUAAUUCACAAUGGGGGCAACCCUGAUGGUGCAACGCCGCGUGGAGGAUGAAGGUCUUCGGAUUGUAAACUCCUGUCAUCCGGGAGCAAGACCUGGCCGUGAAUAGCGGACAGGGUUGAUAGUACCGGAAGAGGAAGGGACGGCUAACUUCGUGCCAGCAGCCGCGGUAAUACGAAGGUCCCGAGCGUUGUUCGGAAUCACUGGGCGUAAAGGGAGCGUAGGCGGUGCGGUAAGUCAGAUGUGAAAUCCCGGGGCUCAACCCCGGAACUGCAUCCGAUACUGCCGUGCUUGGAGGGUUGGAGAGGUAGCUGGAAUUCUUGGUGUAGCAGUGAAAUGCGUGGAUAUCAAGAGGAACACUCGUGGCGAAAGCGAGCUACUGGACAACACCUGACGCUGAGGCUCGAAGGCCAGGGGAGCGAAAGGGAUUAGAUACCCCUGUAGUC